rnacentral:rRNA from 1 species
GAGACACGGCCCAGACUCCUACGGGAGGCAGCAGUGGGGAAUUUUCCGCAAUGGGCGCAAGCCUGACGGAGCAACGCCGCGUGUGGGAAGAAGGCUCUUGGGCUGUCAACCACUUUUCUCAGGGAAGAAGUCCUGACGGUACCUGAGGAAUCAGCCUCGGCUAACUCCGUGCCAGCAGCCGCGGUAAUACGGAGGAGGCAAGCGUUAUCCGGAAUUAUUGGGCGUAAAGCGUCCGCAGGGGGCACUUCAAGUCUGCUGUCAAAGGUCGGAGCUUAACUCCGGUUCGGCAGUGGAAACUGGAGUGCUAGAGGGCGACAGGGGUAGAGGGAAUUCCCAGUGUAGCGGUGAAAUGCGUAGAGAUUGGGAAGAACACCGGUGGCGAAAGCGCUCUACUGGGUCGCACCUGACCCUCAGGGACGAAAGCUAAGGUAGCGAAAGGGAUUAGAUACCCCUGUAGUCUUAGCCGUAAACGAUGGAUACUAGGCGUGGUUUGUAUCGACCCAAGCCGUGCCGAAGCUAACGCGUUAAGUAUCCCGCCUGGGGAGUACGCACGCAAGUGUGAAACUCAAAGGAAUUGACGGGGGCCCGCACAAGCGGUGGAGGAUGUGGUUUAAUUCGAUGCAACGCGAAGAACCUUACCAGGGCUUGACAUCCCGCGAAUCUUGCUGAAAGGUGAGAGUGCCUUCGGGAGCGCGGAGACAGGUGGUGCAUGGCUGUCGUCAGCUCGUGUCGUGAGAUGUUGGGUUAAGUCCCGCAACGAGCGCAACCCUCGUCCUUAGUUGCCAGCAUUAAGUUGGGCACUCUAGGGAGACUGCCGGUGACA